ensembl:lncRNA
CUAGAAUGCUCCUGGCAACAAACCAGAGGUCCAUACGUCAAAUUGCUAUGCUAUGACAGGCCGCUUGCCUUGACCGAUCAGCUUCCUGGUGGGGUUUAGAGGGAUCGGGUGGAUAGAUCCAACCAAUCUUUUCUGAAGCGGUAUGAAGGAUCACUCCACCACAUUGUCGGGGGAGAGGUGUGGAUCAUACGAACCUCCGCUAUUUGUACCAUGAGCAGCCUCGUAUCAAGGAAUCAACACCAAUUCAACUUGCGCUGAUAAACGCCCAUAAAAUUAUUUUAUUACAACAAAUAAACUGGAUUUCCUCUUCAUAUCAGAAACCUGGCUUAAGGUUCAUGCAGAACCACAGAGAGCAAGCUGUGACAGAAGCCAUGUUGCCGUGCAGCUCUGACUCUGAUAUAUGCAGGACAGAGGGCAGUGACAAGAAGAAGUGAUCAUCCUGUCAUUUACUCUGGAUCCCUUGUGUGUAGGGUUCAUUGGCAAGCAGCACCUGUUUCAAACCACUUUACUGAUGCCAAGAAGGUUGGCUACAAAUCCCACAGAUACAAUUAAUUGCUGGACUGCAAUCAUGUGGAUUAUUGGGAUGUUUUUAUCAGCUGUUUGGACUCACAUUCUGAUGACAUCCAUUCACUGCAGAGGAUCCACUGGUCCCCAGACACCUUCUGAAGAUGAAAACCAAGGACAUGGGCACAUGAAAUAGACGCCGGCUUCAGCUACUCAAGAUUUUCAAUCAAGCCCUGAUGGAAUAGCUUUUUACAAAGAUGCACUGGCAUUACCAGCAGCCCCAAAACUGAUUCUGUGCUGCUCAAAGAAAAAAUGAAAAGGUUUUGUUGUUGUUGUUGUUGUUCAUGCUGAUAAGAGGAUUUUUUUUGUGUGUGUAUGUGUGUGUGUGUGUGUGUCUAUGUAUAGACAGAGAGAGACAUUGGGUGUUUGUGUUGGGCCAUCUUUCUUCAUAUUAUGUGAACUAGUCUAACAAAAAAUAAAGAUAUUCACUGAAAAGUGUAUUCUCCUGUC